rnacentral:rRNA from 1 species
CCUACGGGAGGCAGCAGUGAGGAAUAUUGGUCAAUGGACGCAAGUCUGAACCAGCCAUGCCGCGUGCAGGAAGACGGUUCUAUGAGUCGUAAACCUCUUUUGUAAGAGGGUCAACGCAGAUACGCGUAUCUGUCUGAAAGUAUCGUACGAAUAAGGAUCGGCUAACUCCGUGCCAGCAGCCGCGGUAAUACGGAGGAUUCAAGCGUUAUCCGGAUUUAUUGGGUUUAAAGGGUGCGUAGGUGGUCUGUUAAGUUAGAGGUGAAAGCCCGAGGCUCAACCUCGGAAUGGCCGCUGAUACUGUUCGGCUAGAGAGUGGUUGAGGUAGGCGGAAUGUAUGGUGUAGCGGUGAAAUGCUUAGAGAUCAUACAGAACACCGAUUGCGAAGGCAGCUUACCAGGCUACUUCUGACGUUGAGGCACGAAAGCGUGGGGAGCAAACAGGAUUAGAUACCCGUGUAGUC